rnacentral:tRNA from 1 species
GUUCACGUAGUUUAAAAAACACCAGUUUUGUAAAUUAGAGAUGAAGACUAAAAUCUUCCAUGAACUU